rnacentral:rRNA from 1 species
UACAGAGGUCUCAAGCGUUGUUCGGAUUCAUUGGGCGUAAAGGGUGCGUAGGUGGCGCCGUAAGUGGGGUGUGAAAUUUCGGAGCUUAACUCCGAAACUGCAUUCCAUACUGCGGUGCUUGAGGACUGGAGAGGAGACUGGAAUUUACGGUGUAGCAGUGAAAUGCGUAGAGAUCGUAAGGAAGACCAGUGGCGAAGGCGGGUCUCGUGGACAGUUCCUGACACUGAGGCACGAAGGCCAGGGGAGCAAACGGG